rnacentral:rRNA from 1 species
UACGAAGGGGGCUAGCGUUGCUCGGAAUCACUGGGCGUAAAGGGUGCGUAGGCGGGUCUUUAAGUCAAGGGUGAAAUCCUGGAGCUCAACUCCAGAACUGCCUUUGAUACUGAAGAUCUUGAGUUCGGGAGAGGUGAGUGGAACUGCGAGUGUAGAGGUGAAAUUCGUAGAUAUUCGCAAGAACACCAGUGGCGAAGGCGGCUCACUGGCCCGAUACUGACGCUGAGGCACGGAAAGCGUGGGGAGCAAACAGG